UAGCAAGUCGAGCGGAGAUUUAGAAAAGCUUGCUUUUCAAAGUCUUACGCGGCGGACGGGUGAGUAACACGUGGGCAACCUGCCCUUGAGACGGGGAUAACUCCGGGAAACCGGAGCUAAUACCGGAUAACACAUAUCUUCGCAUGAGGAUAUGUUAGAAGGUGGCUUUUAGCUACCACUCAAGGAUGGGCCCGCGGCGCAUUAGCUAGUUGGUGAGGUAACGGCUCACCAAGGCGACGAUGCGUAGCCGACCUGAGAGGGUGAUCGGCCACACUGGGACUGAGACACGGCCCAGACUCCUACGGGAGGCAGCAGUAGGGAAUCUUCCGCAAUGGACGAAAGUCUGACGGAGCAACGCCGCGUGAGUGAUGAAGGUUUUCGGAUCGUAAAGCUCUGUUGUUAGGGAAGAACAAGUACCUGUUGAAUAAGCAGGUACCUUGACGGUACCUAACCAGAAAGCCACGGCUAACUACGUGCCAGCAGCCGCGGUAAUACGUAGGUGGCAAGCGUUGUCCGGAAUUAUUGGGCGUAAAGCGCGCGCAGGCGGUUCCUUAAGUCUGAUGUGAAAGCCCACGGCUCAACCGUGGAGGGUCAUUGGAAACUGGGGAACUUGAGUGCAGAAGAGGAGAGCGGAAUUCCACGUGUAGCGGUGAAAUGCGUAGAGAUGUGGAGGAACACCAGUGGCGAAGGCGGCUCUCUGGUCUGUAACUGACGCUGAGCGCGAAAGCGUGGGGAGCGAACAGGAUUAGAUACCCGUGGUAGUCCACGCCGUAAACGAUGAGUGCUGAGUGUUAGAGGGUUUUCCGCCCUUUAGUGCUGCAGCAAACGCAUUAAGCACUCCGCCUGGGGGAGUACGGUCGCAGACUGAAACUCAAAGAAUUGACGGGGACCCGCACAGCGGUGGAGCAUGUGGUUUAAUUCAAGCAACGCGAAGACCUUACCAGGUCGUGACAU
rnacentral:rRNA from 1 species